AUUGAACGCUGGCGGCAGGCCUAACACAUGCAAGUCGAACGAGUGGCGGACGGGUGAGUAAUGUCUGGGAAACUGCCUGAUGGAGGGGGAUAACUACUGGAAACGGUAGCUAAUACCGCAUAACAUCAGCUGUGCCCAGAUGGGAUUAGCUAGUUGGUGGGGUAACGGCUCACCAAGGCGACGAUCCCUAGCUGGUCUGAGAGGAUGACCACACACACUGGAACUGAGACACGUUCCAGACUCCGCCGGGAGGCAGCAUUGGUGAAUAUUGCAAAAGGGGCGCAAGCCUGAUGCAGCCCUGCCGAGUGUAUGAAGAAGGCCUUCGGGUUGUAAAGUACUUUCAGCGGGGAGGCGUUACCCGCAGAAGAAGCACCGGCUAACUCCGUGCCAGCAGCCGCGGUAAUUC
rnacentral:rRNA from 1 species